rnacentral:rRNA from 1 species
GACGAACGCUGGCGGCGUGCUUAACACAUGCAAGUCGAACGGAAAGGCCCUGCUUUUGUGGGGUGCUCGAGUGGCGAACGGGUGAGUAACACGUGAGUAACCUGCCCUUGACUUUGGGAUAACUUCAGGAAACUGGGGCUAAUACCGGAUAGGAGCUCCUGCUGCAUGGUGGGGGUUGGAAAGUUCCGGCGGUUGGGGAUGGACUCGCGGCUUAUCAGCUUGUUGGUGGGGUAGUGGCUUACCAAGGCUUUGACGGGUAGCCGGCCUGAGAGGGUGACCGGGCACAUGGGGACUGAGAGAGGGCGCAGACUCGUACGGGAGGCAGUAGGGGGGAACAUUGCAGAAUGGGCGGAAGCGUGAUGCAGCAACGUUGCGUGCGGGAUGACGGGCUUCGGGUUGUAAACCGCUUUCGCAGUUGACGAAGACGGAGUGACGGUAAUGGGUAAGGAAGCAACGGCUAACUACGUG